GCGGGGAGCCCGAGCCCGGCCCCGCUCCGCCGCUCACCGGCCCCGCCGCCCCCGGCGCCCCCGAGCCUCAGCGGCGCCCCCCGCGCUGCGCGCCCGCCGCUCGCUCCAUGCCCCGGGGAAAGCCGCGGGGGCCGAGGAAGGAAAAGCCCCGGACUGGCGGAAAGCCCCGGACGUGCCGCCGGGAUGGGAGGGCGGGUACCGGGGGGGGGGGGUGUGGGGGGGGGGGGGGCCGCCCUGCCCCGCUGCUGCCGGUGCCGCCGCCCUCACCGCACCUGCCCCAUCCCCGCCGCCCGCGCCUCUUAUCCAAAGAAGCGGCUCCGCACCGGGAGCCCCGCCCGGGGCCGCCCCGUCCAACCCCCACCGGGGCGGGGAACGGGCACGGGGCGGGGCCGCGCGGCACCGGGACACGCGGGGGGCCGGGGAGCGGGACGGGGGCGGCGGCCGGGGAUGGGGACCGGGGACCGGGCACGGAGCGCCCGGCACCGACCGGGGGCCGGCCCGAGCCCUGACCCCUCGGUGUCCGUUAAUUCGCCACCUGCCCCGUGCUGGCCCCGUGCCCCCCGCACGCCCCCACCGCCCGCUGGGUGUUUGGGGCCCCCCCCGUGCCCCCCCGGGGUCACAGCUCGGAGCUGCCCCAAGGCAGAGCCGCGGGGCCCCCUCUGAGCAGGGGCUUUUGGGGCUCACCGGGAGGAAACCGGCACGGACCCAGCCCGGCUCCCGCUGGGGACGGAGCGACCUGGAGCAAAGAGCGGGGCUGGGGGGGGGCUGGGGGGGGCAGCUGGGGCCUGUCCUGCUCCUGGCCCCGCUCCCCUCGUGUGGGUCCGGGUGGUCCGAGCCCCCUGGGGCCACCUGGGUGACAAACCCUGCCCGCCCCCUGCCCCUGCCCGCUCCCAGCCCCUUCCCCUGCCCGUCCCAGGGCCAGGCCUUGACCUGGAAGUCCCCGUGUCCCCUGGAGCUGUCCCCUGGUGUCCUGCCCCACGGGGGGGCUGCUUCCCUUGGGUGUUCCUUGUCCCACAGGAAUCAGGGGCCACCCUGCGCACGCUGCCCCAACCCGCACCCAGGGACGAGCGCAGCCACCGCCGGCCCAUCCGCCCCCUGCCUGGGGUCUGGGCCCAAACCCUGGGCUCGGGGGUGCGCCUGGGGGUCCCCUCCCGGAGUGGGGGCACGCGUGGGAAGGGGGCAGCAGCACAGAGAGGGACACGCGGGUCUCUGCCCCACCUGCCCCUAAAUCCCCUGGCCCCCAAACAUUGGGUGCUGGUGCUGCUGUGGGGCUGGAUGGGGAUGGGGACAGGGAUGGGGACGGGGACAGGGAUGGGGAUGGGGUUUGGGAUGGGGUUCGGGCUGGGUCUGCUUCCCCCAGGAGGAAAUGGGGAGAUAAAGAUGUGUGGGGUGGGGGCCACAGCCAGGCUGGGGGGGCAGGUGGAUGGGAUCCCCAUGUCCUGGUGGGGGGGUGUCACUGCUCCGGGUACAGCCUCCCCGUGCCCACCCCUGGCCUGGUGCACACUCACACUCACACUCACACUCACACUCACACUCACACGCGUGCACCCCUCCCUGGCACAAGCCCUGCCCGCAAUGCAGGGGCUGCACCCAGGGCAGAGCACAGCAGCUGCCUCCCCCCCCCCCCGGUGUCCCCCCCAGCUGCUAGGGCGCAGCUGCCCCCUCC
rnacentral:lncRNA from 1 species